rnacentral:lncRNA from 1 species
AGGAAAUUUCUGGUGGGCCUUCGCGGCUCCGCUGGGUUGGCAGCCGCUUGAGCCACUGCGAGGAAAGCAAAGUCUGGGCCAUGGAGAUGAGCCUAGUCCUGCUGUUCCUGAUCCGCACUGCCCUUUUUGCACCCCAGGGAGCUGCUGCUGAGACUGGGUUUCACCAUGUUGACCGGGAUGGUCUCAAUCUCCUGACCUCGUGAUCUGCCUGCCUAAGCCUCCCGAAGUGCUGGGAUUACAGGCGUGAGCCACCACACCUAGCUGGUAAUUCAUUUUUUAAUUUUUGGAGGAAUCAACACACUGUUUUCCAUAACAGGUGCCCUAUUUUGUAUUUCCAAAUGCAUUACACAAAGGUUCCAGUUUCGCAACCUGUUUGCCAAACUUGAUAUUUCUGUGUGUGUGUGUGUGUGUGUGUGUGUGUGUGUUUGAUAAUAGCCAAACUAAUUGGUGUAAAGUAAUAGUUCAUUGUGGUUUUGAUUUGCAUUUCCCUAAUGACUGCUGAUGCUGAGCGUCUUUUCAUGUGUCUGUUGGCCAUUUGUACAUCUUGUUUGGGG